GAUGAAGAACGCAGCGAAAUGCGAUACGUAAUGUGAAUUGCAGAAUUCAGUGAAUCAUCGAAUCUUUGAACGCAUAUUGCGCUCUCUGGUAUUCCGGAGAGCAUGCUUGUUUGAGUAUCAGUAAACACCUCAACUCCCCUUUCUUUUUUUGAAAUGGGAGCUGGACUUGAGUGAUCCCAACGCUUUUCUCACCGAAAAGUGGCGGGUUACUUGAAAUGCAGGUGCAGCUGGACUUUUCUCUGAGCUAAAAGCAUAUCUAUUUAGUCUGCCUAAAAAACAGAUUAUUACCUUUGCCGCAGCUAACAUAAAGGAGAUUAGUUCUUGUGCUGACUGAUGCAGGAUUCACAGAGACAGCUUCGGCUGGCCUUUGUAAACUCGAUCUCAAAUCAAGUAAGACUACCCGCUGAACUUAAGCAUAUCAAUAAGCGGAGGA
rnacentral:misc_RNA from 1 species